CCCCGCACAAGCAGAGGAGCGCGUGGUUUAAUUCGACGGCAAUCGAAGAACCUUACCAGGGUUUGAAAUGUAUCUGCAUGCCCUAUGAAAAUAGGGAGGCCCUCGAGGGUGAUACACAGGUGCUGCAUGGCCGCCGUCAGCUCGUGUCGUGAGAUGUAGGGUUAAGUCCCGAAACGAGCGCAACCCCUAUUCUAUGUUACAAGUGUCUUAGAAAACCGCCUCGGUAAAACGAGGAGGAAGGUGGGGAUGACGUCUGGUCCGCAUAGCCCUUAUGUCCUGGGCUACACACGCGCUACAAUGGCCGAUACAGUAGGAAGCCAAAUCGUAAGAUGGAGCUAAUCCUUAAAGUCGGUCUCAGUUCGGAUUGAGGUCUGAAAUUCGACCUCAUGAAGUUGGAUUUGCUAGUAAUCGUAGAUCAGCAAUGCUACGGUGAAUACGUUCUCGGGUCUU
rnacentral:rRNA from 1 species